rnacentral:rRNA from 1 species
CGCAGCCAGCUGCGAGACUUGGUGUGAAUUGCAGGACACAUUGAGCACUGAUUUUUCGAACGCACAUUGCAGCCUCGGGUACUACCYGGGGCUUCGCCUGUCUGAGGGUCGGWUAAUGCUUGCAGAAAGGGGACUUUGUCCUCUUACGUGGCCGCAUCGGUAUCUCAAAUGAUUCCGUCGGCUUAAAAUGUCUCGGUUCCUGGCCCAGACGUACUCCCGUGUUAGUCGAGGGCAGGAGACGACGGAUGUCUGUCUCCGCUGUUUCGAGAUCGGUGAAGAGUACCGGAGCCUUGGAACGAGUCGAACUGAAUUUAAAUUUCUCGACCUCAGAUCAGACGAGAUGACCCGCUGAAUUUAAGCAUAUC